AUUGAACGCUGGCGGCAUGCCUUACACAUGCAAGUCGAACGGUAACGCGGGGCAACCUGGCGACGAGUGGCGAACGGGUGAGUAAUGCAUCGGAACGUGCCCAGUAGUGGGGGAUAGCCCGGCGAAAGCCGGAUUAAUACCGCAUACGACCUAUGGGUGAAAGCGGGGGACCGUAAGGCCUCGCGCUAUUGGAGCGGCCGAUGUCAGAUUAGGUUGUUGGUGGGGUAAAAGCCUACCAAGCCGACGAUCUGUAGCUGGUCUGAGCGGACGACCAGCCACACUGGGACUGAGACUCGGCCCAGACUCCUACGGGAGGCAGCAGUGGGGAAUUUUGGACAAUGGGGGCAACCCUGAUCCAGCCAUGCCGCGUGCGGGAAGAAGGCCUUCGGGUUGUAAACCGCUUUUGUCAGGGAAGAAACGCUCUGAGUUAAUACCUCGGGGUAAUGACGGUACCUGAAGAAUAAGCACCGGCUAACUACGUGCCAGCCGCCGCAGUAA
rnacentral:rRNA from 1 species